rnacentral:misc_RNA from 1 species
CCAAUAGCGUAUAUUAAAGUUGUUGCAGUUAAAAAGCUCGUAGUUGAAUUUCGGGAUCAAGUCGUCGGUCGUGCCUCGGUACGCACUGGUGACAUUGGUUUCUCCCUUCUGAAGAACCUUGAUGUCAUUAAUUUGGUGUCUUGGGGAAUCAGGACUGUUACUUUGAAAAAAUUAGAGUGUUUAAAGCAGGCUCACGCUUGAAUACAUUAGCAUGGAAUAAUGAAAUAGGACGUUUGAUUCUAUUUUGUUGGUUUCUAGGAUCGACGUAAUGAUUAAUAGGGAUAGUUGGGGGCAUUAGUAUUCAAUUGUCAGAGGUGAAAUUCUUGGAUUUAUUGAAGACUAACUACUGCGAAAGCAUUUGCCAAGGAUGUUUUCAUUAAUCAAGAACGAAAGUUAGGGGAUCGAAGACGAUCAGAUACCGUCGUAGUCUUAACCAUAAACUAUGCCGACUAGGGAUCGGAUGAUGUUAAUUUUAUAAUGACUCAUUCGGCGCCUUACG